CGAAUCUCAAAUCGGUGUUAAAUGGGAAAUAGCAAACGCUUGACCUGACGGUGAACAGCACUAUAAACUAUGUUUUUAGGAAAGGAUACAUAAGAAAAGGCAUCAAAUCACGGACAUGUCGUGCAAACGAGAUCACAGCCUAGUGGGACCCGCCUGAGCACACGAGUAAUGUCUCAUGCAAAGGAAACUUCUAUCGCUGUCAGGGAGUUGCUCGGUGUGAUGUGAUUUUGGAUACAUCAUGAUAAGCAGCAUAGAGAUAACAUGCAACAAUAGAGCUCUGUGGUCUCCAUCACCACCACAAUGCCGAAGAGUCUAUUGUCCUAACAUGCGGUAGGAUACAACUCGUUUGUCGUUGAGCAUCAAAAGAAAUAGACAAGCAAAGAGCUGCUCUUCGAGCAAAUAUUGCGUAGGAGAUAUCAUUAAUUUCUCGGCUCUCCCCGGGUACUACCUACAAGGAAGAUCUUACCUCGCAUGCCUGCAGCAGAAAUCGAUCUAUGAAAGCAGGGGCAACUGGAAUGUCAGCCAAACACCGCAGGCUUUAGCGGUCAACUGCAGAAAACCCAUUGAUCCAAUCAAUGGACGAUGUUCAGGAAACGACUAUCGCUAUCAGGGAGUUGCUCGGUGUAGAUGUGAUGUGGGAUACUACAUAAAAGGCCGAAGAGAUAUAACAUGCAACGCUAGAGAGAAAUGGUCUCCACCUCCACCAACAUGCAAAAGUAAGUUUCUCUAAGCUAAUGAUUAUUUUUAAACUCAAUUUUUGUAUUCUAGGGGUCUAUUGCUCGGAACUGACGUAUAAUAUAACUCGUUAAUGGAAAAAUGUGAAAAGCUGUUCUACGGGAAGUUUUUGCGUGGGAGAUAUCGUUACGUUCCUGCCUCGUCCUGGUUACUUCCUGAAAGGUAGCUUUCACCUCAAAUGCUUGCCAUCGAAAUCAAUCUACGAAAAGAUAGGCAACUGGAAUUCGAGCCAACUAUCGCAAACAUUUAAAAAGACAUGACUUCCUCCACUCUCAAAGAUCAACAACUGAUCAGUCCAUGGCAGGGACUCUACAGUUCAUUCCACAGUCACAUUUACAUCCUCAGAUGGCUACGACUUAGUAGAUGGCGAUUCUAAAAGAUUUUGUAUGUUGAAUGAACAGUGGAGUGGAAAACAACCAAGAUGUUAACACGUUUGCACUAAGCUCGGGCCGUAAAAGAGGUCUGCUGAACAUUGCGUCGUUCGAAACGGAAGGGCAGAACAAGUCUGUCUAGAAGCAGUCGAAUGCCCGUCAGAUUUCACUCAGGUGUGCUCUAGUGAUGCAGAAACUGACAACAACGUAUGUCGUAUGA